rnacentral:rRNA from 1 species
AACCUACACAUGCAAGUCUCCGCAUCCCUGUGAGAACGCCCUCUAACCCCUCAAGGGACGAGGAGCUGGUAUCAGGAUCAAUUUUUUAGCCCAUAACACCUAGCUUAGCCACACCCACAAGGGAAUUCAGCAGUGAUCAACAUUGACCAUAAGCGAAAGCUUGAUUCAGUUAGAGUAAACAGAGCCGGCAAACCUGGUGCCAGCCGCCGCGGCUAAACCAUGGGGCCCAAACUGACCUCUUCCGGCGUAAAGCGUGAUUAAAGUAAUAAUAGACUGUAGUUAAAUUAGGGUUUAGCUGUCAUACGCUUUUCACCUAAGAAACACAAAAACGAAAGUUA